rnacentral:lncRNA from 1 species
GGGACGAGUUCAAGCAACAAGCUUUAUAUAAGAUCAAUUGUGUCAUGCAUCACGAAGCUAAAUCAAUUCGACGAACAUAUCGCAAGCAUUGAACAAGAGAUGAAAUUUGCUAUUAUCUCAUCAAUCAAAUUCAACCUAUUUGAAAUACCUUUGCGCAUUUCAAUUUGUUAUGAAAAUUGCGUGGUCAAAUUCAAAGCUCCCACCGCAUUGAUUUUGAUAGAUUAAAAACUCCUGAGCUCCAGGAAUUGCAGGGGAGUCAGUACCAAAUUUUAUCAUAUGAGAAGACUCAGAAGAAAUCAAAGAAUCCUACAGAACCGGACGACCUACUGGAAGACGAAUAAGACCCUAGGCGAGGUCCUGAUUUCUCGGUAGGCUGUAACGGGCGCAAGCGGCUAUCUUUUUGGGCCCUAGCAAAUAUAUAGUUUCCC